ACUGUGAAAUAAAACAAAAUGGGGGGUAAUAUUUUCAUUCCCUGACAUAAUGAAAAGCCUUGUUCUGUAAUUGGUUUGUACUGUCUUGGAAGUGGCGUCCGUGGUCAACAAAGGACCACUCUAUGAGAGAUCUGCAAGGAAUUUAUCAUUCCCUCUGGCUGAGCCAAAGCAGGCUUGAUAGACAGUUUUGUUUCAUAUAAAUAUUCUCAUGUUACUGUUUACUCUGUGGGAAUAUGAGGAUCUCACUGACAGGGUACGUGCUCCACUGCCUUGCUUUUAAAGGCAUUUAUUUGACUCUGUUGUUUGUACUUGCCCAGAGACUUCAGAGAAUGGCCCAGGAACUUGUUUGAUAAGCAUCCAGACCAUGCUCCCAGAGUACAUUGUGCUUGGGGGUUAGAAAAGCUUAUUGUUUUAAGCAAGCUGCACAUGGCUUCCAAGGAGCCCAUUUUUUGUAGGUAAGAACAAUUAGGACAUAACAGCAAUCUCUUAGAAUGCUUCUUGAAAAUGUAAGCAAAUGUGCCAGUGAGCAUGGCUGGGGUGGAACUCAGACUGUCUUUGGAUUAUUCUGCCAACUUUCUUUGUCCCUAGUUGUAAUGUUUUGAGACAAAUUAGCUUAGUAUAAGUUAAGAUGUGAGAAACAGACCUAAACACGGGACAGAUUUCUCUUUCUGCAAUUUUCUUGUGUAUGUUCAAUCUAUUGUCUCUCGGCUCUGCACCCACUCUUCCAUAACUCGGCUUUCUGAUGUUGGCACUCUGCAAACCACAUUUUUUCUUAGCCAACUAGUUUUCUGCUCGGCUCUCAUAUGUGGGGUGCCAGACAGGGAAGGCUACAGGCUGGAGAAGGGAAGGGGGCUUGCUUUUUGCUGUUACUGUCUAUGACAGCCCCAACUCAGCAGUAGUUCUUCACCCUGAUGGUAGCUCUUGAUUCCAGGCUCCAACUUUUUUUUGUGACACUUUCAGAAUUGGCUUCAUCAUGAUCCUCAGAAACCCCAGCAUGAGCUGAGCAGUGCCUUAUCCUCAGAGGCCUGAGCCCCGGGUCUGGAAGGCCUCUUCACUGAGCCUCCUGGACUCUGAGAAACCAGCCUCUGUUUCUUCAGCUGUAGUGGGUAGUUCUUGCUGCAGCUAUUUUAAAAUGUCAUGGUCCUUUUAUUUUUUUAGUUUUCCAGCAGCUGCUGAGCAGUUUUUACGUUAUUUCUUUUGAAGUACUAGAUGUGGUUUCUGUUUUAUUUUGACUGGGCCCAUAGUGGGUCCUGUAGAAACAAACCAAUCAACUGAACAACAGAGAGCAGGGAGAAGAAGGCAGAACAUUUGCUGAAUGAACAUUGUUCCCAGUGGAACUACAGCAUCACCAUUGAUGGUUACUCUCUUUUUCUUCUCAUUAGCACUUUAUUAUCUUAUCUGUUUUAAUUUUGUCAAAUUCUGUGUUCCCUGUGACAUUCUUACUAUUUCAACUAGUAGAGAGCUGAGUGUUGACUUGAAGUAAGGGUGGGACACAUCGUGAUACCCAUUUGAUGGUUCUUUUUUUUUAGAACUUUAAUUAAUUAAUAUUUAUAUUUUAAUUUUUAUUGGCAUAUUAUAAUCACACAUGAUAUAUAUUUAUUGUUGGAUAGUCAUACAUGCAUGCACACAAUAGAAGAGUUUAAUUUGGUCAGUUUCAUUUCCCAGCACCUCCUUUCGGAUAGAGUUUUCCAAUGAGUGUUUUUAAUGUAGGAGUUUAUUCUAGCAUUCAAAAUGAAGACUAAUGUAACUAUGCAUUUUAAAAAUUGUCUUUUAAGUCCCUGUAAUUGUUACUUGUCUUUCCUUUUGUAGUCUUCUUCAUCUGUCAGGUAUCUAUCUGAUUCCUUUUAGCUGUGGGAAGCCCCCAGCCAAAUACCUUACCCAACCUUUCUGCAUAUCAUCCUCUCAGCUUUUACUAAGCAAACCCCAAAUCCCAUCUGCAGCCAGUUUUUGUUUCCUAACUCCUUACCUGUAUUUCCCUGAGGAAAGACUAACUGCUUUGAAAAAAGUAAUAAUUGAAAAUGAUGUAGUUUAACAGUAACCCAUUGUUAUAAAACUGUCAUUUCUGGUGCAUGUAAUGGAUUUUUGGUAAUUGAUAAAUAUUACUAUGUUUUUCCAAAAAUUAUGUUUAGUACUUCAUCUUCCUUCAUGGUGUCCACUCCAAUAUUUUGCAAGGAUAAAAGGAAGAUAAAAUGGUACCAAAAAUUCUUGAGUGAACCCUUUAGACAUCACUGUUUGUAUCUGUCUUUAAUUGAGUACCAACUAAUCAUCAGGAACUAUUACCUGAUUUUUCUUAACCCUCUCGUGUAAGUGACUAUAAAGUAAUGCAAUUGUCCAAGUUCUUUUAGCCUACUGGGCCAACCAGUUGACCCCUCCUACCAUAUUUCGUAUCCUAAAAGGUUCUACCACUGCCUUAACCCUAACUAAUGCUCUUGGACCCAUGUCCUCAAUACUCCAGGGCUCUUCUAGGCCUGAGCAUCUUUUAUCUCUAGUUUUUUUGUAAUCCAGUUAAAAAUUGUACUUUUGACUGAUUUACCUACCCCUCUUAUAGGAGACCCCACCUCAGGAUCCCAGGACUUCUUCCAGACCUCAGAUCUCCCACCCCCUUAAUACUUCAGUAUUCUUUCCUCAUUUAAAAUUUCUUCAUACCCUAUUUGAAUGAAAUGUAUGAUAUGUCAAGAUCAUUGUAUUAUCUUGAGCAACUAAU
rnacentral:lncRNA from 1 species